rnacentral:rRNA from 1 species
ACUCCUACGGGAGGCAGCAGUGGGGAAUAUUGGACAAUGGGGGGAACCCUGAUCCAGCCAUGCCGCGUGUGUGAAGAAGGCCUUUUGGUUGUAAAGCACUUUAAGCGAGGAGGAGGCUACUGAGAUUAAUACUCUUGGAUAGUGGACGUUACUCGCAGAAUAAGCACCGGCUAACUCUGUGCCAGCAGCCGCGGUAAU